CCGGUGACCUCCGCAGUCUAGCCGCCACUCGGUCGCGAUCUCGCGAGGGUGAGCUAACUCCAAAAACCCGUCCUCAGUUCGGAUUGCAGGCUGCAACUCGCCUGCAUGAAGCAGGAAUCGCUAGUAAUCGCCGGUCAGCCAUACGGCGGUGAAU
rnacentral:ncRNA from 1 species